rnacentral:rRNA from 1 species
AACGAACGCUGGCGGUAGGCCUAACACAUGCAAGUCGAGCGAUCCCUUCGGGGAUAGCGGCGGACGGGUGAGUAACGCGUGGGAACAUGCCCAGAGGUACGGAACAACAGUUGGAAACGACUGCUAAUACCGUAUACGCCCUACGGGGAAAGAAUUUCGCCUUUGGAUUGGCCCGCGUUGGAUUAGAUAGUUGGUGGGUAACGGCCUACCAAGUCGACGAUCCAUAGCUGGUUUGAGAGGAUGAUCAGCCACACUGGGACUGAGACACGGCCCAGACUCCUACGGGAGGCAGCAGUGGGGAAUCUUAGACAAUGGGCGCAAGCCUGAUCUAGCCAUACCGCGUGAGUGAUGAAGGCCCUAGGGUCUAAAGCUCUUUCGCCAGGGAAGAUAAUGACUGUACCUGGUAAAGAAGUCCCGGCUAACU